CGUUUGCUGCGCUGCAGGCGGAGGCCGGGCGGCUCUCACCCGCCCAUACCGCGCUGUUCGCGGCGCCGGUGGUCGA
rnacentral:tRNA from 1 species